UAUGCUCACUGCCAGCCAUCACAAACACACCCAGAGCAAGAUGAGGUCGUCCACAGCCUUGCUAGCAGUGUUGGCGUUUCUUACUCAUGAGUCGUCUGCCAGUUCAUUUCUGACACAACCUGACAAAUCCAAGACCGUCGGUCUGGAGGGGACUGUGUCCAUCAGUGCCACGGGGAGCUCAGAUAUUGGUAGUACUCUCUACUGGUACAUCCAGAAACCUGGAGAAGCUCCCAAACUGCUGACAUCCAAUGCAGUCACCCGCUAUUCAGGGACCCCAGCUCGGUUCAGCGGCAGUAUGUCUGGGACUAGCUACACUCUCACCAUCUCUGGUGUCCAGAGGGAGGAUGCAGCAGUAUAUUACUGUCUGGGUUACCACGGUAGCAAUGGGUACACUUUUGGUGGAGGCACCAAACUCAUCAUUGACUUGGGAGUGGUGCAGCCCACGCUGAGCGUCCUCCCUCCCUCCAGAGUGGAGCUGGAGCAGGGCAGUGCUACACUAGUGUGUGUGGCCAGUGGGGGCUUCCCCUCAGACUGGAAGCUUGGCUGGAAGGUGGGGGGCAGCAGCAGGUCUGGGGGGGUGUCUGAUAGCCUGGGGGUCCUGGGGAAUGAUGGCCACUACAGCGGGAGCAGCACCUUGACCCUCCCUGCAGACCAGUGGAGGAAGGCGGGCUCAGUGAGCUGUGAGGCCAGUAAGAAUGGCCAGACGCAGCCUGUCACUCAAACCCUGAAUCCUGGAGACUGUUCAGAGUAGAGAGGCUCCAGCAUGGAAGUACUGGAGAACACAGAUCUCCUCUGACACGUCUGCUUUAUGUGUUUCUGUCUCAGGUGGCAAUGCAGCUUUAGAUGAUUUACAUUAAUAUAACACGUCUUUGAUUCAUUAACGUUAUGCUUUCAAAUUUUUACCCGUUGCUUGUGUUGGUCACAUGUUGAACAUUAAAUAAAGAUGUA